GAUGAACGCUGGCGGCGUGCCUAAUACAUGCAAGUCGAGCGAACAGACGAGGAGCUUGCUCCUCUGACGUUAGCGGCGGACGGGUGAGUAACACGUGGAUAACCUACCUAUAAGACUGGGAUAACUUCGGGAAACCGGAGCUAAUACCGGAUAAUAUAUUGAACCGCAUGGUUCAAUAGUGAAAGACGGUUUUGCUGUCACUUAUAGAUGGAUCCGCGCCGCAUUGGCUAGUUGGUAAGGUAACGGCUUACCAAGGCAAUGAUGCGUAGCCGACCUGAGAGGGUGAUCGGCCACACUGGAACUGAGACACGGUCCAGACUCCUACGGGAGGCAGCAGUAGGGAAUCUUCCGCAAUGGGCGAAAGCCUGACGGAGCAACGCCGCGUGAGUGAUGAAGGUCUUCGGAUCGUAAAACUCUGUUAUUAGGGAAGAACAAAUGUGUAAGUAACUAUGCACGUCUUGACGGUACCUAAUCAGAAAGCCACGGCUAACUACGUG
rnacentral:rRNA from 1 species